rnacentral:snRNA from 1 species
AGCUUUGUGUAGUGGCAGUAUCAUAGCCAAUGAGGUUUAUCUGAACCACAAUUAUUGCUAAUUAAAAACUUUUCCUGAUUA